UCUUCUAUUGGCUCCAGUUAGACCAACAUUGAUGCUUCAUAUGUUUGAUUCUAUGCAAACUCAGUGACCUUCCUUGUUACUCAGCUAUAAAAACUUCCCAUCAGGCUGUCAGUGGAGUUCACAGCACGUCAGUUUCAACAUAAACCAUGUUCUCUGUAGCUCUGCUGCUGCUGUUGGCAGCUGGAUGUGUGAAGUGUGAACAGUUGACACAGCCAGCCUCUGUGACUGUGCAGCCAGGUCAACGUCUGACCAUCACCUGUCAGGUCUCUUAUUCUGUUAGCAGCUACUACACAGCUUGGAUCAGACAGCCUGCAGGGAAAGGACUGGAGUGGAUUGGAAUGGAACGUGUUGGAUCCACAGCAUAUUACAAAGAUUCACUGAAGAACAAGUUCAGUAUCACCUUAGACUCUUCCAGUAACACAGUGACUCUAAACGGACAGAAUGUGCAGCCUGAAGACUCUGCUGUGUAUUACUGUGCCCGCUACACACAGUGAGAGACAAUAACAGCAGAGUCGUACAAAAACUACUUCCUCGAUUUACCGUCACUCUGAGCACUCGUUGUUUCAGCAUCACUUGUCCUGCCUUUCUGACUGUAAUUAACAUAUAUUUUAUUUUUCAUUACCAAAAUUCCUCUGUCCAGGUUCCACUGAAAUAAUAUUAUUUUAAAGAUAUUAAUAUAUGCACUACUGCUGUGUUUGACUUUCAAUCUCCAUGAAUGAACAAACAGCAACUCAGUGUCAAAGCUGAGUAUGUGUAUAAGUAAAA